rnacentral:rRNA from 1 species
UCGUAAGUUUCGGGAUCAGUACGCUGGUCAUGUCCGUUUGGUAUGCACUGGUGUCACUGGUUUCUCCCUUCUGAAGAACCGUGAUGUCAUUAAUUUGGUGUCGACGGGGAAUCAGGACUGUUACUUUAGAAAAAUUAGAGUGUUUAAAGCAGGCUCACGCUUGAAUACAUUAGCAUGGAAUAAUAAAAUAGGUACGUUUGACCCUAUUUUGUUGGUUUCUAGGAUCGACGUAAUGAUUAAUAGGGAUAGUUGGGGGCAUUAGUAUUCAAUUGUCAGAGGUGAAAUUCUUGGAUUUAUUGAAGACUAACUACUGCGAAAGCAUUUGCCAAGGAUGUUUUCAUUAAUCAAGAACGAAAGUUAGGGGAUCGAAGACGAUCAGAUACCGUCGUAGUCUUAACCAUAAACUAUGCCGACUAGGGAUCGGAUGAUGUUAAUUUUAUAAUGACUC